UAUUCCCGCGCCGUGGCUGAUGCGCGAUUACUAGCGAAUCCAGCUUCAUGGACUCGGGUUGCAGACUCCAAUCCGAACUGAGAGAGGUUUUGGGGAUUGGCAUCCCGUCGCCGGGUAGCAGCCUUCUGUACCUCCCAUUGUAACACGUGUGUAGCCCCGGACGUAAGGGCCGUGCUGAUUUGACGUCAUCCCCACCUUCCUCACAUCUUACGAUGGCAGUCCCAAUAGAGUUCCCAGCAUGACCUGAUGGCAACUAUUGGCAAGGGUUGCGCUCGUUAUGGCACUUAAGCCGACACCUCACGGCACGAGCUGACGACAACCAUGCAGCACCUUCACACUGGUCCGAAGAAGAGCCCAUCUCUGAGCCUGUCCAGUGCAAUUUAAGCCCGGGUAAGGUUCCUCGCGUAUCAUCGAAUUAAACCACAUGUUCCUCCGCUUGUGCGGGCCCCCGUCAAUUCCUUUGAGUUUCACCGUUGCCGGCGUACUCCCCAGGUGGAAUACUUAAUGCUUUCGCUUGGCCGCUGACUGUAUAUCGCCAACAGCGAGUAUUCAUCGUUUACCGUGUGGACUACCAGGGUAUCUAAUCCUGUUUGAUACCCACACUUUCGAGCCUCAACGUCAGUAUCGGCUUAGUGUACUGCCUUCGCAAUCGGAG
rnacentral:rRNA from 1 species